rnacentral:lncRNA from 1 species
AUGCAUGCUUGCCUGAUGAAGAACAAGAGUGAAAGCCAACAUCGUUGUUACUGCAGAUACUACAGAAGGGAGGCUUGGAAACACAGAGGAUCUCAUCUGCCUUCAAGAGGAGAGGCACAAGGAUACGAAGUUUGUGACCCAGUAUGCCCAGUACAUUGUUCUGGUUUAUUAAAAAAGUGCAAUUUUGAGAAACCCAAAUCAAAGGUGAAGAUAAUUUCAGUCAUUUUAUAAGGCAAGUUAUUGCCUUUGAAAUAAUUGAUCUAUAGAAAUGAUCAAAUUAGACCCUGUUAGAUUAUUCCUUAAAACGUAUUUAACAAUUAAGUACUGUAUUAAUGAGUGGAAAGAACAAUUACUUUAUAGCAAGAACAAUUACUUUAUAGCAAGAACAAUUACUACAAGCUGACCUGUUCAGAAUGGUCUUUAGAGACUCAUACUGGGACGAGGUAGUCAAUGGAAAUUCAGCCACGCCUAACUUACCAAAGGGAAGACGCUGGAGUUAUUUUCUUCUUUGUUAUCAGAAUUCAAGAAUUAAACUACAAUAGCAAGAAAUGGGGAUCCUUUAAAGCAACCAUGACCAGGUAAAAAAAAAAAAACUGUGAUUUACUUGAAGUUGUGGCCAAGAAAAAAAUUGUACCAAUUGUAAAUCUGUCUAAGUAGAAGUAUAAGUAGAUGGAACAGAGUAAAAUAUAAGUAAAUCUGGAAUAAUUCUUGUGUUUGAGUUUACCUAGACCUAACUUUAUUGGUGCUACAGGAGCUUUUGUUAUUUCCAGCUUUUUUCAUGUUUCCCAGAUGCAAUGAUCUCAGCCACUGAGUCCACAGCAGGGAGAUGAGUCAGGCAGUAGCAGUCUGGCAUCCCCUUCACACCCACCACAUGGGCCUCCUUCCGGGUCUCUAUCGUAGAAUCCUCAGGAGGCUCUUUGAAUUGAAAAGCCCUGGGGUAUGGCCAGUCUGCUUUGCAAUUAAGUAGACCAUACUCCUCAGGGAAAUUUUGGUGGAGAAUAGAGCUAGAAUCCUUCCAAGGAAGAAAGUAUUCAAUUUCCCAGGUGGGACUUGAACAGAAGGCCUGCUGUGGAAGGGGUCUGUAGGAGUGCUGACAACACUGACUCCACCUUUGGCUUUCCAUUGUGUUUGUGCCCGCACAAUGACCUCCCUCAGGGGUUCUGUGGUCCAGUCCCCUUAGAGGUUCAUGGUGCCCUGACUGGAAUGUGGGAAGGCUAGUUCUGAUCUAACC